GAAUCCCGUCUUUGACACGGACUACCUGUACAUUAUGGUGUGCUCUCGAAGAGUCGAGUUGUUUGGGAAUGCAGCUCAAAAUGGGUGGUAAAUGCCAUCUAAAGCUAAAUAUUGGCGAGAGACCGAUAGCGAACAAGUACCGUGAGGGAAAGAUGAAAAGUACUUUGGAAAGAGAGUUAAACAGUACGUGAAAUUGCUGAAAGGGAAACGCUUAAAGUCAGUCGCGUUGGCUGGAAAUCAGCCCUUGCUUUUGCUUGGUGUAUUUUCUGGUCGACGGGUCAGCAUCAAUUUCGACCAUUGGAUAAAGUCAUUGGGAAUGUGGCAUCUUUUGGAUGUGUUAUAGCCCAUUGUUGUAUACGGUGGUUGGGAUUGAGGAACUCAGCAUGCCCGCGAGGGCCAGGUUUCGACCAUGUUUCAUGCUUAGGAUGCUGGCAUAAUGGCUUUAAUCGACCCGUCUUGAAACACGGACCAAGGAGUCUAACAUGCCUGCGAGUGUUUGGGUGGAAAACCCAUGCGCGCAAUGAAAGUGAAAGUUGAGAUCCCUGUUAGAGGGGAGCAUUGACGCCCGGACCAGAGCUUUUGUGACGGAUCCGCGGUAGAGCAUGUAUGUUGGGACCCGAAAGAUGGUGAACUAUGCCUGAAUAGGGUGAAGCCAGAGGAAACUCUGGUGGAGGCUCGUAGCGAUUCUGACGUGCAAAUCGAUCGUCAAAUUUGGGUAUAGGGGCGAAAGACUAAUCGAACCAUCUAGUAGCUGGUUCCUGCC
rnacentral:rRNA from 1 species